CCUACGGGUGGCAGCAGUGAGGAAUAUUGGUCAAUGGGCGGAAGCCUGAACCAGCCAAGCCGCGUGAGGGAGGAAGGUACAGAGUAUCGUAAACCUCUUUUGUCAGGGAACAAAGGCGGGGACGUGUCCCCGGAUGAGUGUACCUGAAGAAAAAGCAUCGGCUAACUCCGUGCCAGCAGCCGCGGUAAUACGGAGGAUGCGAGCGUUAUCCGGAUUUAUUGGGUUUAAAGGGUGCGCAGGCGGUCUGUUAAGUCAGCGGUCAAAGCCCGGGGCUCAACCCCGGCCCGCCGUUGAAACUGGCAGUCUCGAGUUGGAGAGAAGUAUGCGGAAUGCGCGGUGUAGCGGUGAAAUGCAUAGAUAACGCGCAGAACUCCGAUUGCGAAGGCAGCAUGCCGGCUCCACACUGACGCUGAGGCACGAAAGCGUGGGUAUCGAACAGGAUUAGAUACCCGAGUAGUC
rnacentral:rRNA from 1 species